GAUGAACGCUGGCGGCGUGCCUAAUACAUGCAGGUCGAGCGAACAGACGAGGAGCUUGCUCCUUUGACGUUAGCGGCGGACGGGUGAGUAACACGUGGGUAACCUACCUAUAAGACUGGGAUAACUUCGGGAAACCGGAGCUAAUACCGGAUAAUAUUUCGAACCGCAUGGUUCGAUAGUGAAAGAUGGCUUUGCUAUCACUUAUAGAUGGACCUGCGCCGUAUUAGCUAGUUGGUAAGGUAACGGCUUACCAAGGCAACGAUACGUAGCCGACCUGAGAGGGUGAUCGGCCACACUGGAACUGAGACACGGUCCAGACUCCUACGGGAGGCAGCAGUAGGGAAUCUUCCGCAAUGGGCGAAAGCCUGACGGAGCAACGCCGCGUGAGUGAUGAAGGUCUUCGGAUCGUAAAACUCUGUUAUUAGGGAAGAACAAACGUGUAAGUAACUGUGCACGUCUUGACGGUACCUAAUCAGAAAGCCACGGCUAACUACGUG
rnacentral:rRNA from 1 species